GAGACAGCAGUCGCCGCGGUAAUACGUAGGUGGCAAGCGUUGCCCGGAAUUAUUGGGCGUAAAGCGCGCGCAGGCGGAUCAGUCAGUCUGUCUUAAAAGUUCGAGGCUUAACCCCGUGAUGGGAUGGAAACUGCUGAUCUAGAGUAUCGGAGAGGAAAGUGGAAUUCCUAGUGUAGCGGUGAAAUGCGUAGAUAUUAGGAAGAACACCAGUGGCGAAGGCGACUUUCUGGACGAAAACUGACGCUGAGGCGCGAAAGCCAGGGGAGCGAACGGGAUUAGAUACCCCCGUAGUCCCUGUCUCUUAUACA
rnacentral:rRNA from 1 species